UCAUGAAUGCAAAAUGAGAUGGAAGG
rnacentral:piRNA from 1 species